rnacentral:lncRNA from 1 species
CAGUGAUGUGUUCCUCUUCGAAAAAGACAGUGCCAUCAUCGUUUUCUAUCACGGAGAACCGGUUAAGGGCUCUUCUUCCUCUUGUGGUUGCGUGGAAGUAAGAUGAGUUUCGAUCUCCAAGAGCUAGCCAAAGUUGACGGCUUCUUUGUCUCCAAUAAUUCUCCUCUGCCUCAUAAGUUUCUCUCAGAGAUUGUGAGAGUGUCUGUAUAAGAGCUAGAUCCGGGGUUGUGUCUGUCAAGGCCUGAUCCAGUUUUUCCUUUUUCUCCUCUAUCGUCUUUUGGUUGUUCUG